rnacentral:rRNA from 1 species
UACGUAGGGUGCAAGCGUUAAUCGGAAUUACUGGGCGUAAAGCGUGCGCAGGCGGUUUUGUAAGUCUGUCGUGAAAUCCCCGGGCUUAACCUGGGAAUUGCGAUGGAGACUGCAAGGCUGGAGUUUGGCAGAGGGGGGUAGAAUUCCACGUGUAGCAGUGAAAUGCGUAGAGAUGUGGAGGAACACCGAUGGCGAAGGCAGCCCCCUGGGUCAACACUGAUGCUCAUGCACGAAAGCGUGGGGAGCAAACAGG